GCAUUAAUGGGGUAGUGGUAACCUGGGUCGUUGCCAUCAACUUGCAUGAGCUCGACCCGCCGGGGGUUCGAUUCCCUCUUAAUGCA